CGCUUAUCUGCGGAGCAGCAACACUCUAUGCCGUACUCUUCUCGCCGUGGCGAGCUCGCGGCCAGUCAUGAUCUGAUUUAUUGGGGCCAUCGAGUAGUGUUGCCUGAUGCGGCGCGACGGUGCAUGCUAAGGGAACUGCACGACAGUCACCCCGGUAUCGGCGCGAUGAAGCGCACAGCGCGUGCAUUUUUUUUUGGUAUCCCGGAUUAGACAGGGACAUCGAACGGUUGGUUCAAGGUUGCCCUCAGUGUAUACAAUGUUGGCCCAUGCCAGCCGCAGAAGUUCCGUCUCCUUGGCCGACGAGCAACAAACCAUGGUACAGGUUGCAUAUGAAUUUUGCGGGCCCCAUCAAUGGCUACCAAGUUUUUGUGUUGGUGGACGCCGAGACUAAAUGGAUUGAGGCCAUACCUUUGAAGACCGCCACGGCGGAGGCCACCAUUCACGUACUUCAAGAACGACCCCUUUGGAAUGAGGAAAAUCGCCAGCAGAACUGCUGUUGGGCUUUCGUCCCCGAACCAGGCUGACGGCUUCGCUCACAGGCAAAAAGGGGGCUGAAAAUGAUGGUUCCGGCGAACCUGUGCAAGCACAAGCAAAAGCCCAAACGCGGUUCCAACCAGGAAGGCGUGUAUGGUCGCGCCAGUACCAGUCUGGUCAGAGAUGGAUGCCGGCGACAGUAGUGUCCACGACCGGAGCACGCAUGGUUAAGCUAGAAACACCGGAGGGACCGCAGCGGCGCCACGUAGAUCAACUCCGGCCACGGCUGGACUCAGGAUCAUCACCUAGCAAGCCCAUCCAAGUCAACGACGAAGCUCAGUGUACUUCCAAGGAUGCAGACGCUCGUCAAGAUACGAGCGUACGAGAAGUCAACUCUCAAGCCGAAGACCAACAACCACUACGGCGUUCGACUCGCCAGCGGAAACGACCGGAUCGUCUCGCUUACUCUAGCUUAGGGGGGAGGGAUGCAGUGUUAUCAAGCACGCGUACUGAUGUAUAACAAGAGCAGUACUGUUUGCGCGUGUCGUACACUUGCUUAUCAUGACUAGCCAUGCGACCUUUUCUGUUUAGUUAUAAAGCCAGAAACACCGAGCAAUAAACCGUCUUUCGUUCUGCC